GAUGAACGCUGGCGGCGUGCUUAACACAUGCAAGUCGAACGGAAAGGCCCUGCUUUUGGGGUGUGCUCGAGUGGCGCACGGGUGUGAAACACGUGAGUAACCUGCCCUUCACUGGGGGAUAACUGCAGGAAACGGGGGCUAAUACCGGAUAGGAGCUCCUGCUGCGGGGGGGGGGUGGGAAAGUUUCGGCGGUUGGGGAUGGACUCGCGGCUUAUCAGCUUGUUGGUGGGGUAGUGGCUUACCAAGGCUUUGACGGGUAGCCGGCCUGAGAGGGUGACCGGCCACAUUGGGACUGAGAUACGGCCCAGACUCCUACGGGAGGCAGCAGUGGGGAAUAUUGCACAAUGGGCGGAAGCCUGAUGCAGCGACGCCGCGUGCGGGAUGACGGCCUUCGGGUUGUAAACCGCUUUCGCCUGUGACGAAGCGAGAGUGACGGUACUGGGUAAAGAAGCACCGGCUAACUACGUG
rnacentral:rRNA from 1 species